AAGGAAUAUUGCUCAAUGGGAGAAAUCCUGAAGCAGCAACGCCGCGUGGAGGAUGAAGGGUCUAUGAUUUGUAAACUCCUGUAAAGAAGGAAAAAAUUCCCAUUUGAUGGGAGAUGAUGGUACUUCUGGAGUAAGCCCCGGCUAACUACGUGCCAGCAGCCGCGGUAAUACGUAGGGGGCAAGCGUUGUCCGGAUUUACUGGGUGUAAAGGGUGCUCAGGCGGAUUUGUAAGUCAGAGGUGAAAUCUUACAGCUUAACUGUGAAACUGCCUUUGAUACUGCAAGCCUAGAGUAUGGAAGAGAGUGAUGGAAUAUCUGGUGUAGCAGUGAAAUGCGUAGAUAUCAGAUAGAACACCAAUGGCGAAGGCAGUCACUUGGUCCAUUACUGACGCUAAAGCACGAAAGCGUGGGU
rnacentral:rRNA from 1 species